GUCGGAUUCGGGUCAACCUUUCCCAAAACGACGUCGUUUUGCACCUAGGAAGGCCACACAAAAUGCUGCCGUUUUUGUGCUUUCUAUUAAAGCAAUUUUUUUUUCUCUUCAUUUCUGCACUCCUUUUUUAAAAAACAGAGAGUUCUUUCUUUUCUUUUUUUACUCUCUCCCUCUCCCUUUUAAAACUCUCCUCCACAUCCGGCCUAUAAGGCUGCUCGGUGGUCCGUUGCAACCGUUGGCCGACGACGGCGGUGGAGCGCAACCCAGGUGGUUGUCAGAGGCGUGCGAUGUAGGUGAUAGGCGAGCCGAGUGGCGGUGGUGGCGCGCAUGAGGGGCUGAGCGGCGGCUGCAAUGCUAGGGUUCCUUCACUUCUUUUUUUCUGCUGAAAAUGUUUUGUGUUAAUAAGGCUAGGGUUUAGGUUAUUUGGGCCUGCUGGGUUUUGAUUGGGCUAUUGGGUUUAAUAUGUAAGUGGACAUUUAUUUUGGGCUAUUUAAUUAUUUGUUUAGGUUUA